UACGAAGGGGGCUAGCGUUGUUCGGAAUUACUGGGCGUAAAGCGCGCGCAGGCGGUCCUUUAAGUCAGGGGUGAAAGCCCAGAGCUCAACUCUGAACUGCCUUUGAAACUAGAGGACUUGGGUACGGGAGAGGUGAGUGGAAUCCGAGUGUAGAGGUGAAAUUCGUAGAUAUUCGGAAGAACACCAGUGGCGAAGGCGGCUCACUGGCCCGUUACCGACGCUCAGGCGCGACAGCGUGGGGAGCAACAGG
rnacentral:rRNA from 1 species